rnacentral:lncRNA from 1 species
CAACCCAAACUUGAUCACCGCUUGAUGGCCAGCUCGAAAACCAUUUCCAUACACCACAGAAGGAUCUGUGGCCAUCUGAUGUUUGAAGAACUUGCUAAGCUUCUUGUCGAAUGGAGACGUCGAUCCCUUCCCUGAUGACGAAUUGGAGGUUGAUGCAUUGUUGUUAUCAGACAUCGAUAGGAUCUGAGACUCCAACCACAUGCUGGCGAUGACCUGACAUAUACCCUCCUCCACUUCUUGUCUCAGAGCUCGAUAACCUGAGACGAGACAAACAUAUUAUCAGCACAAGAAGAACGAGUGAGGCAAAGACAUGGACAUGGAGACACACGUCGUAGCACCCGGAGAAGACUUAACUUCUUGCUAAGAUCAGUGAUUCUUUGCUAAUUAUGGCUAAACAGGCAGCCUUUUUUUUUAAGUGAUACAGAAAAGUUCAUCUCGUUUAGGAUCCUCUUUGGCUGCGAAUUUAUUAUAAGAAAAGAUAGGAACGUUUUAUCAUAUAUUCUCUAGGGUGGAAAAAAAAGUAUAUCCCACCUUUUUUUUGACGUGUUAAAUGGGAACAUAUUAUCACAUCAAUACGGUAUCAAUACCCCAUGAUAAUAUUAUCACGGAUAGGAGUAAAAAGGAAGGAAAAUGGGCUACUCCGGAAAGUUUUUAUCUGCUCGGAAAAAUUAUCCACCCUAUGGAAUUAGUGAAAACAAUGGAAAAAUGGUGAAAAUAUAUUAUAUUUUCCACCCUUUUUCAUAAAAGAGAAUGCACCCUUAGAAGUUACAUUAGUGUUGUAUCAUAGACUUAUCCAUAAACCAUUUUAUUGUAAAAUGCUAAAGACAGAAAAUAUCAUAUUUUUACGUCAAUAUCUACCAUAGAUCAUCAUAUUGUUUAGCAUUUUAUAUGGGUUUCAGGGUUCAUAAUUUUAGGGUGUUUAGUGGGGAAAUUUUAUGUAGGGAUUUACUUUUUACUUUAAUUUCAACUUUUCCCAUGUUACGUACACAUAAUUGUGUCAAAUUAGCGAGCACUCAACUCUAAUUUGGGGGUAACGAUCUCAAUCGCGGAAUCAAAAUCAAUUAAACUUAAAAGUAUAGUUUUUUAUAGGCAGAAUCACGUACCGUUAAGUCGCAACCAGGCAUGCAUCAUCUCAUGAGCCAAUAUCGUUCCAGUCAGUAACCUGCAGGCAAGAGAAAAUCUGGAAAAAUGAAAUCGAAACUAAAAUGGAACUUGUGACAAGUCCCAAACAGAAAAAUGAGUCCAAACUACCUUGGAAGACCAUAUAGAAUGAGGAUUGCUGUCACUUCACAAUGGCGUGUUAAUUUGUACGGCUCCGUUAUCAUGUCCAUGACUCGGUUUCCAGCUCCAAUCCUUGGCCGCCGUGAUAUCUGGUCAUCCAAAUGGAAAAUAAGAUUGUGAGAUUAUUUUAGAAAAAGACUGAUUAAGUUAUAGGGAAAAAGGACAAAAAAUCUAGAAAAAUGAUCACAGAAGCUCUUACGCUGGUGAUUGUCUGUUCCUCAGAGAGACAAAGACCUCGAGUUUCAGGCAUGUGAUGAUGCCCCUGGCAAGAAAGACGGGCAACUCAUAUAAGCUUUAGUUGAUGAAAGCUAUAAUAGGGGAUAGGUAAGCCUGCAAAUGUUACGUUUCGUAUCUUACAUGCCGCUCUCCUCCCAUGGCUUGAUUCAGUGCCUGCUUCUCAACCAAGAACAAGGGAACUUGCUGCGUCAGUCUCAUGUUUAAUCCUUUGAAGAACUCCUGUAUAUCGCGAAAAAGGGGCUGACAUUCAUGAGUAUCCAUAAUUGCUGAGUCCAGGCACUCCAAGCAGAGUUUUCGACCGUCGUUAAGGGCAGCAUAUCUUGCAUCCCAUGACUGCAACAAGCAAAAGAUCCGAAGUAAAGAUUUUGUGGUGACAGCAAGAGGUUGCUGAGAUUUAGUGACGGUAAACUCCACACUUACCUCCAUUCGCUCACAACUACAGCAUCGAGGAGUGCCAUCGUGCUCAUGCUUAGGGCAGUACUUCUGGGACCAGAAAGGAUGCGCCCUAUAUUCAAUAAGACCAGCUGCAUUUGUUGGAAUCUGUGUAUAUGAAAGCGAUAAACGUUAUAUAUAUCGUAAAGAAUUAUACAACCUUUCCAAUUUGAAAAAAAAAAAAAUAGAAAAUGAUCAACAGUUUUUGAAGAUACAGAGGCAUUAGUAAAAACAGUCUAAAUAUACAGAAUAUUUCAAUAUCAAAAUGAACCAUUCAAAAUAUCCCUCUCUCACAGGUCCAGCUGUUCUCAUAUGCCUGGAAUUGUCUCUAUGAUAUUAGGAAUAGUUAAAAACAAUCUAACUAUUCUUCGCUGGCCAAGGAAGAAUUUCCUCAUCCACCAACAAAUUUUCAGAUGGAUAAUUUCUUCUAAAAGCUAGAGCAUCUUUUUAAUGGUGAUAUCGAAAAGGGAUUCUAAAAUUAGGACUUAAUAACCAAAAAACAGUAUAACCAUUACUUAUGCAUUUAGUCAUCUUUCUCGUGCCUACAAGUCCCAACCAUCACACCUAUCACUUCUCAGCAGAUUGCAGAGCUGGUUGAAAAACAACUUUGUUUAGCAGCACAAAAUGCAUAUCAUCAAGGAAAAGAACUUUUGCCUGAGCAUUUUUUAGACAGAAUGAAUAUGAUAAUCCGUGGGUUGAGAUACUUACGAAGUGUCUGCAGACAUCACAUUUUGGAUGAUGAGACUCCUUGUAGCAAGUUUUAUGGUAAGGGUAGCUACCAGACACGGAAAACUGUCAACAGAGAUACCAACUUCAAUUAAUUAAUUCAUCAUAUGGAAGUUCGGUCAUAUUAAAUGUGAGCACAAUUGACAAAUGCAAUAUUUUUAUAAUACAGUCAUCUAGAUUGCUCUCUGAAUUAACAUUCUUUUACAGAACUUUCCCAAAUAUGCACAAAUGCAAUGUUUGGUUUGUUUANUCCGGAUCCAUAAACUUUUUAUGGAGUCUCCUCCCACAUGGGUUAAUUAGAAAAUAAACUAAAAAUUAUAUAAUUCCUCUAUAAAAACCCGCUCUGAUACCAUUUUCAACAAGGAUCUUUUUGAACUGUUUUUGCUUAAAAGUACGUGGCAUUGUCUCACAGUCCAGACCCAGAUUACAAAGUAAUCUAUCGGGCACGAGGAAAGUUUCCAGCCUAUAUACCAUUUAAGCAUAAUUAUAAGAAAAUUUCAAUUUUUAAUCUGGGGUAUUUGGUACCUUUUUGUAAAAUAGUUGGGGUUUUGCGCAAUAAAAUUUUUUGAAGGGGUCAAUUUCGAAUUUCAGUAAUUUGAAAUCGUGGGAAAUUUGAACCAAAAAUUCAUUUCGUGGUAAAUUUUGGAAAAUUUUGAAUUCGUGGGAAAAAUGGAAAAUUGUCAUAGUUGGUGAUAUUAUACGAAACUGUCCCAAUAGAAAAUGCAUAUAUAUUUAACAGACGUCCAAAAAAAUGCAUAAUUUUAGGGGACAUAGAGCAUAUCUUGUUUUAUUAUAAUUUAUUUUUUAAUAUGAUAAUUAAUUUAGUUUUUUUAAAUAAAAUACAGAUAAGAAUGUUCACGUGCAUCGGGCGCAGAUACUACUACGUAUUCAAGCUUCGAAAUUAUUCAGCUUAGUUUUUUUUUAUUAUGAGAGAAAUCAUUCAACUUAGUUAAGCAAAGACAAAGGAUAAAAUUCUAAAAUCAAUUUUUUUUACUUAUUUUCUGUCAAAAAUCAUGUACGUAUGUGAAUCUAUACAAUGCAAUGUUCAUGAAUGAUUCCUCAAAACCUAUCCUGAAACCCCUUCUGUGCUGACAAGCAUUUAGCUCUCUAUAGACCGGCCUUAGAUGCUAAUACAUAAAAAAAAAAAAAACUAAGCUAAUUACUCACAAAAAUAAUCAUAGCAAUGAUAAUAAAAUCCAUUAAAAGUUGGAAGCAGAUUUAGUGAGGAAAAUUUCCAGUCUUUCGGAUGCAAUCGAGAGUCCUCUGCAACCCAAACUUGAUCACCGCUUGAUGGCCAGCUCGAAAACCAUUUCCAUACACCACAGAAGGAUCUGUGGCCAUCUGAUGUUUGAAGAACUUGCUAAGCUUCUUGUCGAAUGGAGACGUCGAUCCCUUCCCUGAUGACGAAUUGGAGGUUGAUGCAUUGUUGUUAUCAGACAUCGAUAGGAUCUGAGACUCCAACCACAUGCUGGCGAUGACCUGACAUAUACCCUCCUCCACUUCUUGUCUCAGAGCUCGAUAACCUGAGACGAGACAAACAUAUUAUCAGCA